GGUACCGUAGCCAAGUGGUAAGGCGGAGGUCUGCAAAACCUUUACUCGUGGGUUCGAUUCCCACCGGUACCU
rnacentral:tRNA from 1 species